rnacentral:rRNA from 1 species
GAUGAACGCUGGCGGCGUGCUUAACACAUGCAAGUCGAACGAAGCACUUUUAUUUGAUUUCUUCGGAAUGAAGAUUUUAGUGACUGAGUGGCGGACGGGUGAGUAACGCGUGGGUAACCUGCCUCAUACAGGGGGAUAACAGUUAGAAAUGACUGCUAAUACCGCAUAAGACCACAGCACCGCAUGGUGCAGGGGUAAAAACUCCGGUGGUAUGAGAUGGACCCGCGUCUGAUUAGGUAGUUGGUGGGGUAACGGCCUACCAAGCCGACGAUCAGUAGCCGACCUGAGAGGGUGACCGGCCACAUUGGGACUGAGACACGGCCCAAACUCCUACGGGAGGCAGCAGUGGGGAAUAUUGCACAAUGGGGGAAACCCUGAUGCAGCGACGCCGCGUGAGCGAGGAAGUAUUUCGGUAUGUAAAGCUCUAUCAGCAGGGAAGAAA